GACGAACGCUGGCGGCGCGCUUAACACAUGCAAGUCGAGCGAUGAAAUUUCGACAGAACCCUUCGGGGUGAAGAUGAAAUGGAUUAGCGGCGGACGGGUGAGUAACACGUGAGUAACCUGCCUUAGACAUUGGGAUAGCCUCGGGAAACCGGGAUUAAUACCAAAUGAAAUCACAUAUGCACAUGCAUAAAUGAUCAAAGCUCCGGCGGUCUAAGAUGGACUCGCGUCCCAUUAGCUAGUUGGUGAGGUAACGGCCCACCAAGGCGACGAUGGGUAGCCGGCCUGAGAGGGUGAACGGCCACAUUGGAACUGAGAAACGGUCCAAACUCCUACGGGAGGCAGCAGUGGGGAAUAUUGCACAAUGGAGGGAACUCUGAUGCAGCGACGCCGCGUGAACGAAGAAGGCUUUCGAGUCGUAAAGUUCUUUUAUAUGGGAAGAUAAUGACGGUACCAUAAGAAAAAGCCCCGGCUAACUACGUGCCAGCAGCCGCGGUAAUACGUAGGGGGCUAGCGUUGUCCGGAAUCACUGGGCGUAAAGGGUUCGCAGGCGGAAAUGUAAGUCAGGUGUAAAAGGCAGUAGCUUAACUACUGUAAGCAUUUGAAACUGCAUAUCUUGAGAAGAGUAGAGGUAAGUGGAAUUUUUAGUGUAGCGGUGAAAUGCGUAGAUAUUAAAAAGAAUACCGGUGGCGAAGGCGACUUACUGGGCUCAUUCUGACGCUGAGGAACGAAAGCGUGGGUAGCAAACAGG
rnacentral:rRNA from 1 species